rnacentral:rRNA from 1 species
GACGAACGCUGGCGGCGUGCUUAACACAUGCCAGUCGAACGGAAAGGCCCUGCUUUUGUGGGGUGCUCGAGUGGCGAACGGGUGAGUAACACGUGAGUAACCUGCCCUUGACUUUGGGAUAACUUCAGGAAACUGGGGCUAAUACCGGAUAGGAGCUCCUGCUGCAUGGUGGGGGUUGGAAAGUUUCGGCGGUUGGGGAUGGACUCGCGGCUUAUCAGCUUGUUGGUGGGGUAGUGGCUUACCAAGGCUUUGACGGGUAGCCGGCCUGAGAGGGUGACCGGCGACAUUGGGACUGAGAGAGGGCCCAGACGCCUACGGGAGGCAGCAGUGGGGAAUAUUGCACAAUGGGCGGAAGCCUGAUGCAGCAACGCCGCGUGCGGGAUGACGGCCUUCGGGUUGUAAACCGCUGUCGCCUGUGACGAAGCGUGAGUGACGGUAAUGGGUAAAGAAGCACCGGCUAACUACGUG